ACCUUUCAAAUCAGGGUGCGGCGCGGCCCCCGAGGAGCGGAAACAAUCCUUGGGAGGUAUGCGGGGGCUUCGAGCCCCCCAUUUACGCACGCACGACUGCCAUCCUUACUUUACGAGCACCUUCUGUUCUCCCUCGGCGGGGCAACCUGCCGUGGAACCGAAUAAAACUCUUUUUGCAUCUAGCAUUACCUGUUCCGAAACAAACAAACGUUA
rnacentral:misc_RNA from 1 species